GAUGAACGCUGGCGGCGUGCCUAAUACAUGCAAGUCGAGCGAACGGACGAGAAGCUUGUUUUUCUGAUGUUAGCGGCGGACGGGUGAGUAACGCGUGGAUAACCUACCUAUAAGACUGGGAUAACUUCGGGAAACCGGAGCUAAUACCGCAUAAUAUUUUGAACCGCAUGGUUCAAGAGUGAAAGACGCUAUUGCUUUCACUUAUAGAUGGAUCGCGUCUUCAUUAGCUAGUGGUGAAGGUAAGGCCUUACCAAGGCAACGAAGCAUAGCCGACCGGAGAGGGUGAUCGCCAAAACUGGAACUGGGACACGGUCCAGACUCCUCCGGGAGGCAGCAGUAGGGAAUCUUGCGCAAUGGGCGAAAGCCUGACGGAGCAACGCCGCGUGGGUGAUGAAGGUCUUCGGAUCGUAAAACUCUGUUGUUAGGGAAGAACAUAUGUGUAAGUAACUGUGCACAUCUUGACGGUACCUAAUCAGAAAGCCACGGCUAACUACGUG
rnacentral:rRNA from 1 species